GAUAGGUGUUUGGUGUUGACCUUGAGUGUUCCAAAGGCUCUGUAGUGAAUGGAUGAUGACAUUGAUGUAGGGUGGGAAUGCAUUAUCAAGGCGCUGUUUGUAUACCUCAAUGAAGACCAGGAACAUUUUGUGAGGGAGUACGUGGCAGAAGAGGAAGCUGUGAUGCAAGGAUCCAUUGCGGAGACUGUGGUUGGGAUCUACGUGGUCAAACAUGAUGUCAGUGCUAAACCAGAGGACAUUAGCAUAGUCCUCAAAGACCUUAUGGUAGUCCAUGAUCUGGAUAACGUCCCAUUAGCUGCUGCCAGGUUGUUUGAUUUAUGUAUGCCUUAAAUCUCACCUACCCUCCUGAAGUCCACUUUUGAAAUUAUGCAGAAACUCGUCAUGGAGCUGGAUGGCAGCACACUGUCAAAGAAAGCGCAGGCCCUAAAAAACAGACUUCAUAUUUAACAGUUUGUGAAUAUUGCUGCACCACCUUUUUCAAAUGUGCUGGUUUUAUAAUAUUGCUAAAUCCUUGCUAAAGUCCUUAUUUCUCCCUCUUUUCCCUGUUUUUUAUUAUGUUGUAUAAUUGCUAUUUCUCUUAGUUAUCCAGAGCCAGGUAGCGGUUUCUUGUUUGUUGGACUUAGGACUUAUGUUAGGACUUACAGUGUUGUAGCACUUAGAUAUGUUUACUAUUCACUCUUGAUAAGAGUUAACAAUUGUUGCAUUAUAAAAUGGAAUGUGCUUUGUUCUAAGAAGUGAGAUCCAAACUUUUGUAUGGAUUUGUGGUCCAGGGUUAAGGUUGUUUAAAUCCUUAACGAAAUACAGUU